rnacentral:rRNA from 1 species
UACAGAGGGUGCGAGCGUUAAUCGGAAUUACUGGGCGUAAAGCGCGCGUAGGCGGCUUUGCAAGUCGGGUGUGAAAUCCCCAGGCUUAACCUGGGAACUGCAUUCGAGACUGCAUUGCUAGAGUAUGGGAGAGGGAAGUGGAAUUUCCGGUGUAGCGGUGAAAUGCGUAGAUAUCUGGAGGAACACCGGUGGCGAAGGCGGCAUCCUGGACCAACACUGACGCUGAGUGAGCGAAAGCCAGGGGAGCAAACGGG